GAUGAACGCUAGCGGCAGGCCUAAUACAUGCAAGUCGAGGGGCAGCGGGUGUAGCAAUACAUGCCGGCGACCGGCGCACGGGUGCGUAACGCGUAUGCAACUUACCUCUAACAGGGGAAUAGCCCCGAGAAAUCGGGAUUAAUACCUCAUAACAUUUAUCAUUCGCAUGUUUGAUAAAUUAAAGCUCCGGCGGUUAGAGAUGGGCAUGCGUGACAUUAGCUAGUUGGUGAGGUAACGGCUCACCAAGGCUACGAUGUCUAGGGGUUCUGAGAGGACAUUCCCCCACACUGGUACUGAGACACGGACCAGACUCCUACGGGAGGCAGCAGUAAGGAAUAUUGGGCAAUGGACGCAAGUCUGACCCAGCCAUGCCGCGUGCAGGAUGAAGGCCCUAUGGGUUGUAAACUGCUUUUGUACGGGAAGAAACUUCCGCACGUGUGCGGAAUUGACGGUACCGUGCGAAUAAGCACCGGCUAACUCCGUGCCAGCAGCCGCGGUAA
rnacentral:rRNA from 1 species